rnacentral:tRNA from 1 species
UAGAAAAUAAUAUCAGGGGAGUAUGGAGAGUUUUGAGGUCUCUUGUGUAGGUUCGAUUCCUACUUUUCUAA